rnacentral:rRNA from 1 species
CAAUAGCGUAUACUAAAGUUGUUGCGAUUAAAAAGCUCGUAGUUGGAUCUCAGGCAUGGGCGCACGGUCCGCCUCGCGGCGGUCACUGUGUGUUUUGUUUCCCAUCCUACGCUUCCCGGUUAUCCGCCCAUGGUGCUCUUCACUGAGCGUUUUGGGUGGCCGGAACGUUUACUUUGAAGAAAUUAGAGUGUUCAAAGCAGGCACGUCGCCUGAAUAAUGGUGCAUGGAAUAAUGGAAUAGGACCUCGGUUCUAUUUUGCUGGUUUUCGGAACACGAGGUAAUGAUUAAGAGGGACAGACGGGGGCAUCCGUAUUGCGGUGUUAGAGGUGAAAUUCUUGGAUCAUCGCAAGACGAACAACUGCGAAAGCAUUUGCCAAGCAUGUUUUCAUUAG